AAAUAACUUUGAACUCUAUACAAGUACUUAAGAUCUAUCAAACAGUUUUAGAUUCCAUUUCCAAAACACAGGUGAUACCAAUCAUAUGAUAUGACUAGUUAUCAGAAAACUAUUCUGGAUCAUCACACUUGAGCACACUAUUAAUGUUAAGCAAAGAACUUCAAGUAGAGGAAAUAAAUAUGCCCACAAGAAGAGAUGUGAAAUAAGGUCAUAUUACUUUACAUACUGGCAAUUGAAAACGUAAUAACAAAAUGAUGGCCAGUAAAGGGAUAGAAAUAUAUUGCUCAAGAAGAUGACGCAGGAGUCGAAGAGAUUGGAUUGAAUGAAAGCUGCUCAGCACAAGUAAGCACUUCAUGGGGACCUGCUUCCUCUCGGCCAACACCCAGCAGGUCGAGGUAAUACUGGUAAUGGGAGACGAUGUUGUUCAUAGCAUCAAUAUCACCCUGACCGCAAACAAGAUCCCCAUAGAGGAUAUUCAUUGUGGCGCCAAAGCCAGGAACACGCUUUGCCAAAGUAUCAUUCUUGGUCGGUUUCCAUUUAGCAACAAAGAUAUCGUGUGCUGAAGGCUGUGAUUUCUUGAUUGGGGUCAUCCAUCUCCAAAUUGCAGCCUGAAAGGCAAGUGUAGCAUUCUGCUCUAUGUAUUCCGGAUGGUUUAACAAAUCCACCUUUAAAGCCUCCCCGGCUGCUCCAUAGUUGUAGUUCC